rnacentral:lncRNA from 1 species
GACUCCUCCUCUUCCUGUGUGGAACCUGGAAUUCAAACGGCUGGGAGGGAAGUACGCUAGCAGGGGCCUCUGGCCUUGCUGAGGGUCCCUGUUUCCCCUUUUCCUUCCUUUUCACCCAACAAAACCCUGCUUUACUCACCCUUCAAACCAUCUAUGAGCCUAAAUUGUCGUGGUCGUGGAAUGGACAAGGACCCAGUCUUUAGUUGAACUAAGGGAAAGUCCUGCUUUUUGGCGCGCAACAGGGGAGCUCAAGAAACAGGCCUCACUCACGGCAUAUGGAACUAACCACGCCCCUAACUAAGAAGGCACACCUUAGUUGCAGUUAGCACACAAUUAAAGCAACUCUCCAAGUUUUACCUUAAAGUUCAAAAUUGCUAGGAGUUGAAACUACUAGAAAUAUAUUUACAUGCAAGAGUCAAAGAAACUUUGAACUAUUUAUGGCCUUUAAUAAUUAAGUAAGGUAUACUCCUGUGAUCAAGACUUGGAGCAUAUUUGUUUCUCUCUGCCUGGUUCCUCUAGAAAUUGGAAACGAUCAGAACACAGACCAACUCCGUUUCCCGAUCCCUUUGCAAUCUGCAUUGAACCAUGAGUCAAGUUCUUGAUAAAGGAGUGAAAAUGGAUGACAUUUAAGGCACAUCUGAAGAUGGGGAAACCACAGUACAGAAUAAGGCUGGGCCCUUGAAUCAAUAAAUGAAGGAGAACUACUCAAGAGAACAAAACCACCAGCAAUAUCCACCUGUAUUUGUCUUUUCAUA